rnacentral:lncRNA from 10 species
CCACAAACAAAGAUGGUUUAAUAGAUUUCAGCAUGUUUCCACUUGACAAUGUUAUACGAAAAUAGAAUCUUUAUUAAAAUAGCAAGGCAUAACAAUCACUGCUACUCAGGAAACACUGUGUUUAUUCUUUUUAAUCAUCAAAAUCAAUGACUUUGGGCAAGACCUGUGAAAUCUCAGAGCCUGUUUCUCCAUCUGGAGAACAGGCAGGUAGGGCAUUGCCAGCUCCCUGUGAGUGGGGGCCACUGGUGGGAGGAGAUGGCCCUGGUCGCCCAUGGGAUGAGAAACUUACUCCUGCUUCUGUCCCUGGAGAAGGUCAGGGAGAUGCCAGUGUGGCCUUAAGGCAAUUCUAACACUUGCUUAUCUCGUUUUGUAACAGAGAAGAGAGAGCUCUCAGCCUUGGCCACACCAGCAUGGAGCCCCCUUCCCCAGCGAAUUUAUUUUUCAUGGUCACUUUCUAUUUUUGGCAGUGAGUGAUACAUGUUAUCCACUAUUGGCAGCAAUUGGGGGGAAAAAAAGUUCAUUUUAAAAACAAAGUUUAGGCCGGGCAUGGUGGCUCAUGCCUGUAAUCCUAGCACUUUGGGAGGCCCAGGCAGGCAAAUCACGAGGUCAGGAGUUCGAGACCAGCCUGACCAACAUGGGGAAACCCCGUCUCUACUAAAAAUACAAAAAUCAGUUGGGCGUGGUGGUGUGCGCCUGUAAUCUCAGCUACUUGGGAAGCUGAGGCAGAAGCAUUGCUUAAACCCAGGAGGUGGAGGUUGUGGUGAGCUGAGAUCGUGCCAUUGCACUCCAGCCUGGGCAAUAAGCGUGAAACUCCGUCUCAAAAAAAAAAAAAAAAGUUUAAAAAGCGAGUCUGUUUAAAGGAGAAUAUUUGGUAAACAACAAUAUUAAAAUAUAGCAAAUAAUAGUAACAAUAAUCACAAUGGUAAGGAAACACUUCAUUAGAUCAACUUAAGAGUAUUUUAUUCUUGGCUGGGCGCGGUGGCUCACACCUGUAAUCCCAGCACUUUGGGAGGCCGAGGCGGGCAGAUCACGAGCUCAGGAGAUCAAGACCAUCCUGGCUAAUACGGUGAAAUCCCAUCUCUACUAAAAAUCCAAAAAUUAGCCGGGUGUGGUGGCGGGUGCCUGUAGUCCCAGCUACUCAGGAGGCUGAGGCAGGAGAAUGGUGUGAACACGGGAGGCAGAGCUUGCAGUGAGCCGAGAUCACGCCACUGCACUCUAGCCUGGGCAGCAGAGCGAGACUCCAUCUCAAAAAAAAAAAAAAAAAAAGAGUAUUUCAUUCUUGCCACUGAGCUUAAAAAGAAAGAAAGAAAGAAAGAGUAUUCCUAACAUAUGUCCAGUAAUUUUGAUUCUUAAGCAAGGGAUGAAGAAAUACAAUGGCAUCCAGGUAACUUCCUAACUAGCGCAUAGCAGGUAGCUAACCCACUCAUCUCUCCCUCUUUUCUUUAUAGCUUCUAUUUUUUUUAAAGAGAAAAAUAACGAUUAAAACAAGGGCAGGUUUAAAUAAUCGUCUCCUGAGCUGCACUUCAGUAUCUCAGGUAACAGCUGGAGCUGCCUGGUGGGAGCACAUCUUUUCCUUGAGUGUAAUUCACUAAUGACUGUGGUUCCAAGGAGGUGCGACCUUUAAAGGGAAUUGGCCCUUCUUUGAAGGCAGGUGAGAAUCUAGUCUCAGUGACAACCCAGCCUGAUUUGGAAGGGGGGAGUCAUAAGGGUUUUCGCCCAGCACACCAGGGUUGCAGCCUGCGCAAGACCUUCCAUAGCUAUUUCUGCCGGCUUGCUUCCUUCCCUUCCCAGCCACGAUGAGGCAGCUGAGGGUUGCCACGGAAACCGGCUCUGUCCUCCCACUGGAGGCUGCCAGCUCUGAUUUCCUGCAGAGUUAAGAAGGAGGCGGCAGUGGGGGUCACCCAGGCGUGAAGAUGGGUCUGGGGUUCUUUUAUCUCCCUCCAGCUAAAGCUAGAGGGACCUCAUUAUGUGUCUUACAAGAUGUACCCAAGUUUAGGUGCCUCUGGCUCUGUCAGCUCCUGAAGUCGAGAAGAAUUGUCCCAUCACCAGUCCCCUUGAGCCCAAAGAACAGGAGUUGCUCAUCCAGCAUUUGCUCCUGGGACAGUAAAUCUGCCUGCAGAGUUCUACAGCUUAUGAGCUAUGUGGCCCCAGGCAAGUCACCUCACCUCUCAGUUUUCUCAUCUAUGAAGUGGGCACAACCCUCCUUCUCUUCAUAGAGAUGCUGUGAGGAGUAGACAUACUGUCUGUAGGGUCUCUCGCAGGCAUUUAAAGGGUCUCAAUAAACAGGACUUUAUAUUAAUAAAAAUAGCAUCAUAAAAAAGGUUUGCAGGCCAUUUUUCUCUUUAAGCUGUUUUUUAUUUUAAUUAAUUAUUUAUUUAUUGAGACAGAGUCUUGCUCUGUCGCCCAGGCUGGAGUGCCGUGGCGCAGUCUCAGUUCACUGCAACCUCCACCUCCUGGGUUCAAGCAAUUCUGGUGCCUCAGCCUCCUGAAUAGCUGGGAUUACAGGCACGCACCGCCACACCUGACUAAUUUUUUUAUGUUUAGUAGAGACGGGGUUUCGCCAUGUUGGCCAGGCUGGUCUUGAACUCCCGACCUCAAGUGAUCCGCCCACCUCGGCCUCCCAAAGUGCUGGGAUUACAGGCAAGCCGGGGCAAAGGCAAAUUUUCAUCACUGAUACAUUUGUUCAAAGGGUGGUGCACUCAGGCUGGGUUGGACCAAUUAGCUGGUCCCCACCACCUCUUACAAUGUCACUUCUAAGAGUUAGAACAGGGUCUCACACUCAGAUGCCUUCAGGUCCAGGAGGCGCUGUGAAUGCAGAAGCAGACCCGGUCAGAACCCUGGUGAAGCCGAGAGCACAUGUCCUGCAUAAGGGAGGCGGCUGCCACUCAGCUCUGGCCAAGAGUUACCCUUGGGAAUGUGAGCCCAGUGUGGCCAGAUAUACCAAGUUUUCAAGAGAAGCUGGACAUUUUGAAUGAACUCUCCCAAAGAUGAUAACAACUAAGGCAUUUUUUUAAGUGAAGUCCAAACAAAACACGUCUGCAGACUGGAUCGUGAUCACAGUUGGGGCUUCUGCACUAGAAUGCAUGAAAUCGGCACCUUCUUUUUUGGCUUGAUCAGUCUAAGGAGUCCUGGCUGGCUCCUUCCAGCCAUCUUGUCUGGGCUGUGUCUUCCUUAGCUCCCUACCUGAGUGCUGACACUGAGAAAGCCCAUCCCAUCUGCUUUUCCCUCCCCUGGACCCAGCCUUCUGGGAGAAAAGC